rnacentral:rRNA from 1 species
CUACGGGACGCUGCAGUGGGGAAUAUUGGACAAUGGGCGCAAGCCUGAUCCAGCCAUGCCGCGUGAGUGACGAAGGCCUUAGGGUUGUAAAGCUCUUUUGGCGGGGACGAUAAUGACGGUACCCGCAGAAUAAGCUCCGGCUAACUUCGUGCCAGCAGCCGCGGUAAUACGAAGGGAGCUAGCGUUGUUCGGAAUCACUGGGCGUAAAGCGCACGUAGGCGGAUUUGUAAGUCAGGGGUGAAAUCCCGGGGCUCAACCUCGGAACUGCCUUUGAUACUGCAAAUCUCGAGUCCGGAAGAGGUGGGUGGAAUUCCUAGUGUAGAGGUGAAAUUCGUAGAUAUUAGGAAGAACACCGGUGGCGAAGGCGGCCCACUGGUCCGGUACUGACGCUGAGGUGCGAAAGCGUGGGGAGCAAACAGGAUUAGAUACCCGGGUAGUC